CGUGCAUGCGUUCGCUCUGCAUGGCCCGUCCGUGCCCACCAGGCAUCGCUUACCACCGCCCACCAAACGCCAUCGCUCCGCGCAUGGGCUGGAACCCCUCAUCGUCGUCAUCCGCGUAAUCGUCCUCAUCAUCAAUGUCGUCCGCCUGGUUGCGCCCUGGCUCCUCCAGCGGGUUCAGCUUGGACUCCACAAGGCUCUCCUCCGCAAACAGGCGCUUCAUGUUCAUGAAUGACAGUUGCGACAGGUUGCGCACCACCAGGUCUGCACCCGUGAAGUCGAACACGGGGUUCGUGCCUGUGUUGAGGCAAGAGAGCGAGGGACCAGGUGCAUCGGGUCACGCGUUGUGGUGCGGCAAGAUUGAAGGCAAAUGUAAGCGCAUAGUGCAAGACAUGAUCAAGCACAAGCGUCCGCACGCCACAGGCGCGGAAGCCCCACCCCAGCCCUGCAGUGCUUUCACUC
rnacentral:lncRNA from 1 species